rnacentral:rRNA from 1 species
UACGUAGGGGGCAAGCGUUGUCCGGAUUUAUUGGGCGUAAAGAGCGUGUAGGCGGCCAUACAGGUCAGCUGUGAAAACUCGAGGCUCAACCUCGAGACGUCGGUUGAAACCGUAUGGCUAGAGUCCGGAAGAGGAGAGUGGAAUUCCCGGUGUAGCGGUGAAAUGCGCAGAUAUCGGGAGGAACACCAGCGGCGAAGGCGGCGCUCUGGGCUGGCACUGACGCUGAGGAGCGAAAGCGUGGGGAGCGAACAGG